AAAUCUCUUCAUGUUGAAAGGGGACUGGAGUAGUCUCGAUCUGUGAGGGGAACCGAGAUAUCUCUUCGUGUUCUUUAUCUUUAUGCACUUUACCGUUCAUCGCUUAACAUAACCAGAAAAGAAAGAACAAAGUUUUUCAUAAACAGAAAAAAAAUUCAAAGAACCUAAUUCACCCCUCUUAUCCCCUCUUAUGCGCUACUCAACUAGCAUUUAUCAAUCUUAUAAAUAGAAAAAUCUUCCAUGAAUAUCUAUAUAUAAAUAUUUAAAAGUCCAUAUAU
rnacentral:lncRNA from 1 species